rnacentral:rRNA from 1 species
UACGGAGGGUGCAAGCGUUAUCCGGAUUCACUGGGUUUAAAGGGUGUGUAGGUGGCGCUGUAAGUCGGGUGUGAAAUUUCGGAGCUUAACUCCGAAACUGCAUUCGAUACUGCGGUGCUUGAGGACUGGAGAGGAGACUGGAAUUCAUGGUGUAGCAGUGAAAUGCGUAGAGAUCAUGAGGAAGACCAGUGGCGAAGGCGGGUCUCUGGACAGUUCCUGACACUGAGACACGAAGGCCAGGGGAGCAAACGGG